UACGAAGGGGGCUAGCGUUGCUCGGAAUCACUGGGCGUACAGCGCGCGCAGGCGGCCGCGUAUGUGACCGGUGACAUCCUCGGGCUCAACCCGAGGCGGCCCGGUUAGACAGCGUAGCUGGAGGCAGGGAGAGGGAUGUGGAAUACCCGGUGGAGCGGUGAAAUGCGUAGAUAUCUGGAGGAAUACCGGUGGCGAAGGCGGCAUCCUGGACCGAGAUUGACACUGAUGAGCGAAAGCCAGGGGAGCAAACGGG
rnacentral:rRNA from 1 species